rnacentral:rRNA from 1 species
CCCCCCGCAGGGGGACAACACCGGGAAACCGGUGCUAAUACCGCAUAGGAGCGGGGGCCGCAUGGCCCCUGCUGGAAAGCUUCGGCGGCGGGGGAUGGGCAUGCGUGCCAUUAGGCAGUUGGCGGGGCAGCGGCCCACCAAACCUACGAUGGCUAGGGGUUCUGAGAGGAAGGCCCCCCACACUGGCACUGAGACACGGGCCAGACUCCUACGGGAGGCAGCAGUGAGGAAUAUUGGUCAAUGGCCGUAAGGCUGAACCAGCCAAGCCGCGUGAGGGAGGAAGGCCCUACGGGUUGUAAACCUCUUUGGUGCGGGAGCAAGGAGGGGCUCGUGAGCCCCGGUGAGAGUACCGCAAGAACAAGCAUCGGCUAACUCCGUGCCAGCAGCCGCGGUAAUACGGAGGAUGCGGGCGUUAUCCGGAAUCAUUGGGCUUAAAGGGUGCGCAGGCGGCCCGGUAAGCCGGCGGUAAAAAUGCGGGGCUCAACCCCGCCGAGCCGUCGGUACUGCGGGGCUGGCGUUGCGGCGGCGCAUGCGGAACGCGUCAUGUAGCGGUGAAAUGCAUAGAUAUGACGCAGAACGCCGAUCGCGGAGGCAGCAUGCGAGCCGCAUACGGACGCUGAGGCACGAAGGCGCGGGUAUCGAACAGGAUUAGAUACCCUGGUAGUCCGCGCAGUAAACGAUGGACACUUGCCGUCCGUGGGGUGACCCGUGGGUGGCGUAGCGAAAGCGUUAAGUGUCCCGCCUGGGGAGUACGCCGGCAACGGUGAAACUCAAAGGAAUUGACGGGGGCCCGCACAAGCGGAGGAACAUGUGGUUUAAUUCGAUGAUACGCGAGGAACCUUACCCGGGCUCGAACGCCGGAGCUCAGGCCCUGAAAGGGGCCGCCCCGCGAGGGGGAUCCGGCGAGGUGCUGCAUGGUUGUCGUCAGCUCGUGCCGUGAGGUGUCGGCUCAAGUGCCAUAACGAGCGCAACCCCCGCGUCCAGUUGCCAGCGAGUGAAGUCGGGGACUCUGGACGGACUGCCGGCGCAAGCCGCGAGGAAGGCGGGGAUGACGUCAAAUCAGCACGGCCCUUACGUCCGGGGCUACACACGUGUUACAAUGGCGCGUGACAGAGGGAUGCAGGCGUGCGAGCGCCGGCUGAGCCCUAAAACGCGCCGCAGUUCGGAUCGGGGGCUGCAACCCGCCCCCGUGAAGCUGGAUUCGCUAGUAAUCGCGCAUCAGCCAUGGCGCGGUGAAUACGUUCCCGGGCCUUGUACACACCGCCCGUCAAGCCAUGGGAGCCGGGAGAGCAUGAAGGCCGUAACCGCGAGGGUCGGCCAAGUGCGAGACCGGUGACUGGGGCUAAGUCGUAACAAGGUAGCCGUACCG